rnacentral:rRNA from 1 species
GGGAACGUACCCUUCGGUUCGGAAUAACUCAGGGAAACUUGAGCUAAUACCGGAUACGCCCUUUUGGGGAAAGGUUUACUGCCGAAGGAUCGGCCCGCGUCUGAUUAGCUUGUUGGUGGGGUAACGGCCUACCAAGGCGACGAUCAGUAGCUGGUCUGAGAGGAUGAUCAGCCACACUGGGACUGAGACACGGCCCAGACUCCUACGGGAGGCAGCAGUGGGGAAUAUUGGACAAUGGGCGCAAGCCUGAUCCAGCCAUGCCGCGUGAGUGAUGAAGGCCUUAGGGUUGUAAAGCUCUUUUGUCCGGGACGAUAAUGACGGUACCGGAAGAAUAAGCCCCGGCUAACUUCGUGCCAGCAGCCGCGGUAAUACGAAGGGGGCUAGCGUUGCUCGGAAUCACUGGGCGUAAAGGGCGCGUAGGCGGUCGAUUAAGUCGGGGGUGAAAGCCUGUGGCUCAACCACAGAAUUGCCUUCGAUACUGGUUGGCUUGAGACCGGAAGAGGACAGCGGAACUGCGAGU